AGAGUUUGAUCCUGGCUCAGGACGAACGCUGGCGGCGUGCUUAACACAUGCAAGUCGAACGAUGAAGCCCAGCUUGCUGGGUGGAUUAGUGGCGAACGGGUGAGUAACACGUGAGCAACCUGCCCCUGACUCUGGGAUAAGCGCUGGAAACGGCGUCUAAUACUGGAUACGAGUAGCGAUCGCAUGGUCAGUUACUGGAAAGAUUUUUUGGUUGGGGAUGGGCUCGCGGCCUAUCAGCUUGUUGGUGAGGUAAUGGCUCACCAAGGCGUCGACGGGUAGCCGGCCUGAGAGGGUGACCGGCCACAUUGGGACUGAGAUACGGCCCAGACUCCUACGGGAGGCAGCAGUGGGGAAUAUUGCACAAUGGGCGCAAGCCUGAUGCAGCGACGCCGCGUGAGGGAUGACGGCCUUCGGGUUGUAAACCUCUUUCAAUAGGGACGAAGCGCAAGUGACGGUACCUAUAGAAGAAGCACCGGCCAACUACGUGCCAGCAGCCGCGGUAAUACGUAGGGUGCGAGCGUUGUCCGGAAUUACUGGGCGUAAAGAGCUCGUAGGUGGUUUGUCGCGUUGUUCGUGAAAACUCACAGCUUAACUGUGGGCGUGCGGGCGAUACGGGCAGACUAGAGUACUGCAGGGGAGACUGGAAUUCCUGGUGUAGCGGUGGAAUGCGCAGAUAUCAGGAGGAACACCGGUGGCGAAGGCGGGUCUCUGGGCAGUAACUGACGCUGAGGAGCGAAAGCGUGGGGAGCGAACAGGAUUAGAUACCCUGGUAGUCCACGCCGUAAACGAUGUCAACUAGCCGUUGGAAGCCUUGAGCUUUUAGUGGCGCAGCUAACGCAUUAAGUCGACCGCCUGGGGAGUA
rnacentral:rRNA from 1 species